GGACCUUUUUUUUUUUUCUCUCCCAUGAGGCUGAUCUGGGUCAUUAGAGCCAGACCUUCCUAGGGUGUCUGGGGUGGGGGUGGGGGACCCAGCUUGGACAAACCCUCUUUCCUGCCUCCUUCCUCACUCUCAGGAGGGUCUGGAGAAUUCACACCCUGCAUGAGUCUUCACCCUCAAAGCCUACCUGGACUGUGCUCCCUGGGGCUCUUUCUAAGGCCCAACGAUACCAUGGGCUCCUGCUUGUCAAUGGUCCCAUCUCCUCAUUGGAGAUUUGGGGAGACAGGUGUCCUGGGAGCUAUUCAGCCGCUCCAAAGGCAGUGGCUUUCCUGUCCUUCCCUCAGGGCCGAAAGUUCCCUCAGCCUUGCCAAGAAGCACCCAAUUCUGAGACUUUGCACCCCACCAGGAACUGCUUAUAGGGGUUCAGCCUAGGACUCUGAUGGGGUCCACUGGGGUAUGGUAAAACUCUUUGGAUGAAUGAGCUGGACAGAGCUUGAACUCCUGAACUGGAGCCAAUUCCUGAUCGUGUGCAUACAUGUGGAGUGCGCUGUGUGCACAAAUGUAUGUAUGUACGUAUGUAUGUUUAUGGGUGGGUAAGCAUGUACAUAUGUGAGCAUACAUGUGUAUGAAUGUGAGUACCUGUACAGGUGUAUGUGUGCAUGUGCACACGUGUAUGAACCUAUGUUUAUCUGAGUGAAUGAGGGAGAAUGUUAGGUGCAUGUGUACAACACAUGCAUGCAAACUAUGUAUGCUUACGCACAAGUGCACUGUGUGAAUAUGCAUGUCUAUGUGUAAGCAUGCGUGUGUGUGUGUGUGUGUGUGUGUGUGUGUGUGUGUGUGUGUUUAAAAAGAGAGAGAUUCCAUUGUGUGUUCUCUUUGGCUGCUGGGCUAAUGACUACCAAGUCCUGCCCUGUCCUGUCCCACACUGGUCUGUAGAGCCUCCCUGUGAGUCCCUCCUGACUGACCCUCUCUGUAAAUCAAUGUCCUAAAGCUGGGCUGUCAGCUUGGCUCUUCCUCCUGGCCUUUCUCCCACCUCUGGCUCUACUGUACACAUUUUAAUGGAGGAACAGUUGAGGUCCUAGGAGAACAGAGCCAACAUUUAGGUGGUCUUUGGUGCCCCUCUUCCAGCCCCCAUGGCACAGUGGGGCCACAGAUGCUGCAUAUUUAGCCUGCCCAGGUGUCAGGACCCUGAAGCCCUUGCAGAUGAGGCUUCCCUGGACAUUCAAGGCAAAUGUGCCUUGCAAGGAAAAGCUAAUGGUGCUGUGGCUCUCGAGGGGAGCCAGUAGAAGGGCAGGCAUCCUGGGGCCUGAAGAUGGACAGAAAGGGGCUGCCUACCUCAGCGGGCAGGAGGUGCUAGAACUAGACAGGAAACACCAGCCACCAUAAGCAGCUUUCUGGAGCGGAAAGGGCCUGUUUCUCUAGAGGCCAACGUCUGCACAUGUGACAGCAGGAGACCAUGCUGAGAGAUAGAGAGGGCCGGCCAAGCCCCUGAAGCCUCAGGGAGCCUGAGCCCUUUGAGCCCUGGUGCCAUGAAUCCCUUCUUUCCGAGCUGCAGCCCCCGAUUCCUUGCAGAAGCCUGUGCCCUCUGUAGCCUGCUGUGUGGCCAGGCAUCGUGUCUGACUUUGCACAGCCUGUUGGGGAAGGUUGGGAAGAGGCAAGAUGAAGACCUUUUGUUUUAUUCUUUUCCCAAUAAAAGGACUUGCCAGCUUGAGGCUCC
rnacentral:lncRNA from 1 species